CGGCUCGCCCUUCAAAUUUCAAUACGUCAUUCCCCAAAAACUACUUAAAAAAUGCGAGAAAGAACCCAAGAAAAGAAAAACAAGCUCUGCACCGAAUCCCAAUUCCAGCCAAUUAUCAGCAGUAUUCCUGAUGAUAUUUUGCUUGAAAUAUUCACGAGGCUUCCGGUCAGAUCCCUGAUGAGGCUCAGCUGCGUUUCGACAUCUUGGCAUUCCUUGAUCUCUAGCCCCGAUCUCGUUAAAUCCCAUCACAAAAGAUUGACGGAAGACAAGGAAAACGAGCAUCGCAGGAUCGUGUUCGUUAAGGUUGAGAGGCAAAUUAGUAUGAGGCUCGGGCUCAACCUUAGGCUCGGGCAGUUUGAGUGUUCCCUUCACAGUGCUUUUUCCUGUGCGGUACCCGACAAAAUUGAGGUAACCAACAACUGCGUUAUUAGUUUUCCUGCAGAACGCUACGGCUUUAGUACAUUUAAAAUUGUGGGUUCUUGUUAUGGGUUGGUUUUGAUCAUGGUUGAUGAAGAAAUUAUGUUGUUGUGGAAUCCAGCUACAAGAAAAUAUAGAAAGUUGCCUGAUUUUGGAAUUAAAAUGGAGCAUAAGUUUUCCGCUUAUUCUUGCUUGUCAUGUGGGAUUGGUUAUGAUGAGUCUAAUGAUGAUUUUAAGGUACUUGUACUUUCCUGUGUUUUCUAUGCUGGUAUGCAGCAUGAGACUCUGGCUAAGGUUUAUAGCCGGAAGACAGAUUCUUGGAAGAAGAUUGAGGAUCUUAAGUACUGUUUGAUUGAGCAGGGCUGUUAUUAUGUGAAUGGGAUAUUCCACUUUACUCAUUAUGAUCUUCUAAGUCGUGCUGCUUGGAAUAUAACUUUUGAGCGGAAAAUUGUUGGUUUUGAUUUGGUGAAUGACAUUUUUAAAGAGAUAGAACUCCCUGAAGAGGUUAAUAAUUAUGAUAACUGGAAUUUAGGAACAUUAGAAGGAUGCCUUUCAUUAUUGGUUUGUUGCAGAGGCAAUCAGGUGAAUCUGUGGAUUAUGAAGGAAUAUGGAGUGAAAGAAUCUUGGACUAAAAUGGUUGUGAUUUCUUGUUUUCAAGAUCCUGAUAGUAAUUUAUUGAGUAUGCCUUUGAUCUUAUCGGAGGAUGGUCAACUUUUAUUUGUGACUUGGCCAAGCCCAAAGUUGGGAGUUUAUGAUCCAAAUCAGAAUUCACUCAAGUAUUCUCGGUUUAGUAACUUUAAUAAAGAUCUUUAUGGAGCAUAUGUGUUUGUUGAAAGCUUAGUUUCUCCCUGAUGCUGUUCAUGGAGUUCAAAGGGACUGGAAUCAAUGAGAGGUCCCAUGGAGCUAUAAUGCAUAGUGCAUUGCAUGGUUUGUCCUACAUUAAAGAUGGCUGACGCCCCUUAUGACAUAGUUGUGCACUACAAGAAUGAAAAGGCAAUUAUUAGGAAUGUGAACCCUAACA